UACGUAGGUGGCAAGCGUUGUCCGGAUUUACUGGGCGUAAAGAGCGCGCAGGCGGUCGUUCAAGUCGCGUGUGAAAGCCCCCGGCUCAACUGGGGAGGGUCACUCGAUACUGAUCGACUCGAAGGCAGGAGAGGGUAGUGGAAUUCCCGGUGUAGUGGUGAAAUGCGUAGAUAUCGGGAGGAACACCAGUGGCGAAGGCGACUACCUGGCCUGUUCUUGACGCUGAGGCGCGAAAGCUAGGGGAGCAAACGGG
rnacentral:rRNA from 1 species